UUGCCAAGGAUGUUUUCAUUAAU
rnacentral:siRNA from 1 species